rnacentral:misc_RNA from 1 species
GAAGGAUUUAAGAAGUUUGAAAUUCUUCAAGUAAAGGUUAGUGAAGAUUUUCUUAAUCCCCUCUUUAAAUUCAUCUUUGAACACUUAUUUUGAGUUAGAAUUGUGUAAAAAUUUAACAAAAUUAAGCAUGUUAGACCAUUAGGAAAUUUUCAUCAGCCAUGGUUAGGGUAGGAUUUGAUGGUGUUUAAUUAAAUUAAACAUGAAUUCUUGGUGAG